GGCGCUGUGGUGCAGCAGGUCAAUGCACUGGCCUGAAGUGCCAGCAUCCCAUAUGGGCCCAAGUUCUAAUCCUGGCUGCUCCU
rnacentral:tRNA from 1 species